AGUCGAACGCCUCUUUUUCCACCGGAGCUUGCUCCAUCGGAAAAAGAGGAGUGGCGAACGGGUGAGUAACACGUGGGUAACCUGCCCAUCAGAAGGGGAUAACACUUGGAAACAGGUGCUAAUACCGUAUAACAAUCGAAACCGCAUGGUUUCGAUUUGAAAGGCGCUUUCGGGUGUCGCUGAUGGAUGGACCCGCGGUGCAUUAGCUAGUUGGUGAGGUAACGGCUCACCAAGGCGACGAUGCAUAGCCGACCUGAGAGGGUGAUCGGCCACAUUGGGACUGAGACACGGCCCAAACUCCUACGGGAGGCAGCAGUAGGGAAUCUUCGGCAAUGGACGAAAGUCUGACCGAGCAACGCCGCGUGAGUGAAGAAGGUUUUCGGAUCGUAAAACUCUGUUGUUAGAGAAGAACAAGGAUGAGAGUAACUGUUCAUCCCUUGACGGUAUCUAACCAGAAAGCCACGGCUAACUACGUGCCAGCAGCCGCGGUAAUACGUAGUGGCAAGCGUUGUCCGGAUUUAUUGGGCGUAAAGCGAGCGCAGGCGGUUUCUUAAGUCUGAUGUGAAAGCCCCCGGCUCAACCGGGGAGGGUCAUUGGAAACUGGGAGACUUGAGUGCAGAAGAGGAGAGUGGAAUUCCAUGUGUAGCGGUGAAAUGCGUAGAUAUAUGGAGGAACACCAGUGGCGAAGGCGGCUCUCUGGUCUGUAACUGACGCUGAGGCUCGAAAGCGUGGGGAGCAAACAGGAUUAGAUACCCUGGUAGUCCACGCCGUAAACGAUGAGUGCUAAGUGUUGGAGGGUUUCCGCCCUUCAGUGCUGCAGCUAACGCAUUAAGCACUCCGCCUGGGGAGUACGACCGCAAGGUUGAAACUCAAAGGAAUUGACGGGGGCCCGCACAAGCGGUGGAGCAUGUGGUUUAAUUCGAAGCAACGCGAAGAACCUUACCAGGUCUUGACAUCCUUUGACCACUCUAGAGAUAGAGCUUCCCCUUCGGGGGCAAAGUGACAGGUGGUGCAUGGUUGUCGUCAGCUCGUGUCGUGAGAUGUUGGGUUAAGUCCCGCAACGAGCGCAACCCUUAUUGUUAGUUGCCAUCAUUUAGUUGGGCACUCUAGCAAGACUGCCGGUGACAAACCGGAGGAAGGUGGGGAUGACGUCAAAUCAUCAUGCCCCUUAUGACCUGGGCUACACACGUGCUACAAUGGGAAGUACAACGAGUCGCAAAGUCGCGAGGCUAAGCUAAUCUCUUAAAGCUUCUCUCAGUUCGGAUUGUAGGCUGCAACUCGCCUACAUGAAGCCGGAAUCGCUAGUAAUCGCGGAUCAGCACGCCGCGGUGAAUACGUUCCCGGGCCUUGUACACACCGCCCGUCACACCACGAGAGUUUGUAACACCCGAAGUCGGUGAGGUAACCUUU
rnacentral:rRNA from 1 species